rnacentral:rRNA from 1 species
AUUGAACGCUGGCGGCAUGCUUUACACAUGCAAGUCGAACGGUAACAGGCCGCAAGGUGCUGACGAGUGGCGAACGGGUGAGUAAUGCAUCGGAACGUGCCCAGUCGUGGGGGAUAACUACUCGAAAGAGUAGCUAAUACCGCAUACGAUCUAUGGAUGAAAGCGGGGGACCGUAAGGCCUCGCGCGAUUGGAGCGGCCGAUGUCAGAUUAGGUAGUUGGUGGGGUAAAGGCUCACCAAGCCAACGAUCUGUAGCUGGUCUGAGAGGACGACCAGCCACACUGGGACUGAGACACGGCCCAGACUCCUACGGGAGGCAGCAGUGGGGAAUUUUGGACAAUGGGCGCAAGCCUGAUCCAGCAAUGCCGCGUGCAGGAAGAAGGCCUACGGGUUGUAAACUGCUUUUGUACGGAACGAAACGGCUCUGGUUAAUACCCGGGGCUAAUGACGGUACCGUAAGAAUAAGCACCGGCUAACUACGUG